UACGGAGGGUGCAAGCGUUAUCCGGAUUCACUGGGUUUAAAGGGUGCGUAGGCGGGUAAGUAAGUCCGUGGUGAAAUCUCCGAGCUUAACUCAGAAACUGCCGUGGAUACUAUUUGCCUUGAAUAUUGUGGAGGUGAGCGGAAUAUGUCAUGUAGCGGUGAAAUGCUUAGAUAUGACAUAGAACACCAAUUGCGAAGGCAGCUCACUACACAAUCAUUGACGCUGAGGCACGAAAGCGUGGGGAUCAAACAGG
rnacentral:rRNA from 1 species